CAGCCGCCGCGGUAAUACCGGCGGCCCGAGUGGCGGCCACUAUUAUUGGGCUUAAAGCGUCCGUAGCCGGGUUGGUUAGUCUCCCGGGAAAUCUGGCCGCUUAACGGUCAGAAUUCCGGGAGAUACUGCCAGCCUAGGGACCGGGAGAGGCCGAGGGUAUUCCCGGAGUAGGGGUGAAAUCCUAUAAUCCCGGGAGGACCACCUGUGGCGAAGGCGCUCGGCUGGAACGGGUCCGACGGUGAGGGACGAAGGCCAGGGGAGCAAACCGGAUUAGAUACCCGGGUAGUCCUGGCGGUAAACGAUGCGGACUUUGUGUCGGACAAGCUAUGAGCUUGUCCGGUGCCGGAGGGAAACCGUUAAGUCCGCCGCCUGGGGAGUACGGCCGCAAGGCUGAAACUUAAAGGAAUUGGCGGG
rnacentral:rRNA from 1 species